rnacentral:rRNA from 1 species
UACGGGGGGGGGCAAGCGUUGUUCGGAAUUACUGGGCGUAAAGGGCUCGUAGGCGGCCAACUAAGUCAUACGUGAAAUCCCUCGGCUUAACCGGGGAACUGCGUCUGAUACUGGAUGGCUUGAGUGUGGGAGAGGGAUGCGGAAUUCCAGGUGUAGCGGUGAAAUGCGUAGAUAUCAGGAGGAACACCGGUGGUGUAGACGGCUCACUGGACCGUAACUGACGCUGAGACACGAAAGCGUGGUAGCAAACAGG